rnacentral:rRNA from 1 species
GACGAACGCUGGCGGCGUGCUUAACACAUGCAAGUCGAACGGAAAGGCCCUGCUUGCAGGGUACUCGAGUGGCGAACGGGUGAGUAACACGUGGGUGAUCUGCCCUGCACUUCGGGAUAAGCUUGGGAAACUGGUCUAAUACCGGAUAGGAGCCAUCUUUAGUGUGGUGGUUGGAAAGUUUUUUCGGUGUAGGAUGAGCUCGCGGCCUAUCAGCUUGUUGGUGGGGUAAUGGCCUACCAAGGCGGCGACGGGUAGCCGGCCUGAGAGGGUGUACGGCCACAUUGGGACUGAGAUACGGCCCAGACUCCUACGGGAGGCAGCAGUGGGGAAUAUUGCACAAUGGGCGCAAGCCUGAUGCAGCGACGCCGCGUGGGGGAUGAAGGCCUUCGGGUUGUAAACUCCUUUCGCUAGGGACGAAGCUUUUUUGUGACGGUACCUAGAUAAGAAGCACCGGCUAACUACGUG